rnacentral:antisense_RNA from 1 species
UUCCAUGGCGGGUGGUGCGUGGGGAUCCUUGGAUCCGCCGGUUUGUGUGGUAAUCCGGUACGGCAACCCGCAUCGCCCGCCGCCUUG